AGAGUUUGAUCAUGGCUCAGGACGAACGCUGGCGGCGUGCUUAACACAUGCAAGUCACGGGGGCCCGCAAGGGUAACCGGCGAACGGGUGCGUAACACGUGAGCGACCUGCCGAGAUGAGGGGGAUAGCCGGGCCAACGCCCGGGUAAUACCGCAUAACCUGGUUGGGGGGCAUUCCCUGACCAGUAAACCUCCGGGGCAUUUCGAGGGGCUCGCGGCCUAUCAGCUAGUUGGCGGGGUAACGGCCCACCAAGGCGACGACGGGUAGCUGGUCUGAGAGGAUGGCCAGCCACAUUGGGACUGAGAGACGGCCCAGACUCCUACGGGAGGCAGCAGUGGGGAAUCUUGCGCAAUGGGCGAAAGCCUGACGCAGCGACGCCGCGUGGAGGAUGAAGCUUUUCGGAGUGUAAACUCCUGUUGCCCGGGACGAAUCCCUCCUCUGUGGAGGUUGACGGUACCGGGUGAGGAAGCACCGGCUAACUCCGUGCCAGCAGCCGCGGUAAUACGGAGGGUGCGAGCGUUGUCCGGAAUCACUGGGCGUAAAGGGCGCGUAGGUGGCGCGGUAAGCGGGUGGUGAAAGUCCGGGGCUCAACCCCGGAUCGGCCAUGCGAACUGCCGCGCUCGAGCACUGUAGAGGCAGGUGGAAUUCCGGGUGUAGCGGUGGAAUGCGUAGAGAUCCGGAAGAACACCGGUGGCGAAGGCGNNNUCUGGGCAGUUGCUGACACUGAGGCGCGACAGCGUGGGGAGCAAACAGGAUUAGAUACCCUAGUAGUCC
rnacentral:rRNA from 1 species